UCCUUCCCAAAAUCCCAAUCUUUCUUCCCUAUUUUCUUUGCUAUAUCUUUCAAUGCCUGCACUGCAACCAAAAAAGAAAAAAAUUCCACAAUCUUGAAUACCCAGAUGGGAAAUCACUGACAUAUUCAACUAAGCUUCAAGACUGAAUUCAUAUUCAACUAACAAAUUAAGGAACAAUGAAGAGAGAAACCAUUUUGAGUAUAAAAUACCAAAAGAAGGAAACUUAUAGUUGAGAGCUGCUAUUAUUCUGUGUUUCUUUGGCAAUUUUAGUUACCUUCGGCUGGAUGAAGCUUAGCAGUAGCUGCAAAUCCAAAGGAAGCAAAAGAAGAGAAUGUAAUGAAAUAAAUGAUGAGUAGCAAAAUUAGUUUUGAACUUGACAAAUCAGCUGCUCCCAUUUCUUUCCCUUCCUUUCCUUUCCUUUCCUUUCUCUUCUUUUCUUGCUCUAAAAGCUCCUCUUUGUCUCAGUAGAGAGAGAGAGAAGAUUUAUUAUAGAAAGUGGUGCAAAAUGCACCAACUGUGACACUUACUGAUUUUCAAUACUGAUAAAAAUAAUGAGUAUAUAUAAGUUAAUCCAAUAUGGCAAUG
rnacentral:lncRNA from 1 species